AUGGAACUUUCUGACUUUUGCCGGGUCUGUGCGACGGAACGGGAGGAUACUUUCCACGUCUUCUGUAGAUGCCCGAGAGCAGUAUCAUUAUGGCAAGCUAUGGUGGAGCAUUGGAACUUGCCGGAGAUCCGACGAGUCAAGCCCACGGAUGAGGAAUGGCUCUUCGAUAUGUUGCAUGGGCUGGGCGACAACGAUCGCAUGAGAGUCUUCAUGGUGCUGUGGCGUAGCUGGCACGUCCGGAACAAGAUCGUCCAUGACAAACCACCGCCCUCGGUGGAAGCUUCACGUCGGUUCCUGCUAAGCUACGAGAAGUCUCUUUUGGAUAUCCAGCAAUUCCCGGACGAUGAUAUUGUGAAAGGUAAAAUGGUGAUAAACUUUGACAGCCGUAGUGCAUCGACAACAAGUACUGUACCUACACCACAACCUCCCGCUUGCUGGGUUCCACCUGCAGCUGGCCAAGUGAAGCUAAAUGUUGACGGCUCCUUCAUCGAAGCUAGUGGUGAAGCUGGAGUAGGUAUGAUCCUCCGGGAUAGUUCAGGGACCAUCGUCUUCUCGGCAUGCAGGUCCAUUUUAUCUUGCUCGGGACCAUUACAAGCAGAACUCAUGGCAUGCUUGGAAGGACUCAACCUUGCGCUGCAAUGGUCUUCGCUGCCGGUGGACGUAGAGAUGGACUGUCAAUAUGCCGUCAAACUCAUUAAAUCUGAGACACAAGAUAGGUCACCACAUGCGAUGAUAGUGCAGGAAGUGAAACGUCUCCUAGGUGAAAGGGAUAGCUCUAUUGCUCACAUUAGUAGGAAUCAAAAUUCUGUUAGUCAUAGAUUAGCCACGUUUGGCCGUGUAGAGGCUAGGACUGCAGUUUGGUUGAGGUCAGGCCCUACGGAUGUACCCCAACUUUGUAUGGACGACCUGGUUCCCCAUUGA
rnacentral:rRNA from 1 species